rnacentral:rRNA from 1 species
AGUUUGAUCCUGGCUCAAAUUGAACGCUGGCGGAAUGCUUUACCCUUGCAAGUCGAACGGCAGCACGGACUUCGGUCUGGUGGCGAGGGGCGAACGGGUGAGUAAUAUAUCGAAACGUGCCCAGUCGGGGGGGAUAACGUAGUGAAAAUUACCCUAAUACCGCAUACAAUCUACGGAUGAAAGCGGGGGAUCGCAAGACCUCGCGCGAUUGGAGCGGCCAAUAUCAAAUUAGGUAGUUGGUGAGGUAAAGGCUCACCAAGCCAACGAUCUGUAGCUGGUCUGAGAGGACAACCACCCACACUGGAACUGAAACACGGCCCAAACUCCUACGGGAGGCAGCAGUGGGAAAUUUUGGACAAUGGACGCAAGUCUGAUCCACCCUUUCCGCGGGCAGGACAAAGGCCUUCGGGUUGUAAACUGCUUUUGUACAAAACGAAAAGGUCUCUAUUAAUACUAGGGGCUCAUGACGGUACUGUAAAAAUAAGCACCGGCUAACUACUUGCCAGCA